GAUGAACGCUGGCGGCGUGCCUAAUACAUGCGAGUCGAGCGAACGGACGAGAAGCUUGCUUCUCUGAUGUUAGCGGCGGACGGGUGAGUAACACGUGGAUAACCUACCUAUAAGACUGGGAUAACUUCGGGAAACCGGAGCUAAUACCGGAUGAUAUUUUGAACCGCAUGGUUCAAAAGUGAAAGACGGUCUUGCUGUCACUUAUAGAUGGAUCCGCGCUGCAUUAGCUAGUUGGUAAGGUAACGGCUUACCAAGGCAACGAUGCAUGGCCGACCUGAGAGGGUGAUCGGCCACACUGGAACUGAGACACGGUCCAGACUCCUACGGGAGGCAGCAGUAGGGAAUCUUCCGCAAUGGGCGAAAGCCUGACGGAGCAACGCCGCGUGAGUGAUGAAGGUCUUCGGAUCGUAAAACUCUGUUAUUAGGGAAGAACAUAUGUGUAAGUAACUGUGCACAUCUUGACGGUACCUAAUCAGAAAGCCACGGCUAACUACGUG
rnacentral:rRNA from 1 species